GCUUCCUGAAUAAUUAUUAAAAGCGAAUAUUUUGCAUACAUUUCUUCAAUUUGAAAACCAAAAGUUAAUAUUAUGCAUGUGUAACGCAUAGUAUGUAUUGAAAAAUAUAAUAUGUUGUUCACAUGUGCACCGCACCCUAUUCAUAAUCUAAAAAUUGCCUAUCUAGGCAUUGUACUUGUAUUAUUAAUAAAUAAAUACAUUAUAUCAUGAUCAGUUCAAACACAAUUGUAAAACGAAGUAAUUAUGGAAUAAUACUAGGUUUUUAAAAAGUAAAAUUCUUAAG